GAAGUUUUGAUAAAAAAAAAAGUUCAUGAAAAAGUUGGAAAUGGAGGUAUAGUUCAUGAUUUUUGGCGUAAUUAACCCUUCUUUUUUUGUCAAAACAAAAUGUACUAUCGUGUUUAUUUGUUUAUUUAAUUCAAAUUUCAAAAAGUAUUUUAGACACUAGAAUAACAUGAAUGCAAAGAGAAAUUUUAGAUGACAAAUUCUGAAGAAUUUUAGAUGUAACAUGAGUAUUUAAUUUGUUACCAAAAUAAGGAGGCCAUUUGAUUUUAGUGUAAUACAUUAUCGAUAAAAUAGUUGAACUUAUCAUCUUUUAAUCAUACUAGCUGAGAUUACGUGCAUUGCACGUAUAAUCUCUUAUUUAACAUCUAAAUAGUAAUAUAUUUGAAAAAAAAAUGAUAACACUAUUAAUUGUUAAUAAUUAAUUUUAAUAAAUAUUUGCAAGUACGUAUAAGAAAGUAUAAAAAAAAUGAAACAAAAGUUAAUAUAUGUACAAUUAGGACCCUCAAAAUUAUAUGAUAGUCACUAUAUAUAACUAAUCUGCUUGAGAAAGAUUAGAAUAACCAAAGACACAUUGCUCUCAUGUUAUAUAGCCCUACUAAUUCUUUAAAAUAUUUCAAAAUCGUAAAACUGAUUGUUAUUAUGGCUAGCUACAAUUAUUAUAGUUGCAUAUCAUCCAAAAAGAGAGUUCAUUAAUUAUAUGUCGUUCCUUCUUCAGAAAUGAAGAGGAGUAGUUAUUAGAAAAGUCUUUUUUAGAAUUCAAUUCUUGAUUCUCUUGUAGAUUGUUAUUCAUUACUUUCCACUCAAAUACAAUAUAGACCUAAACGUCUUUUUGUAAGUAAACAUAAUCAAUAAUGUAGUAAAAUCAGUAAAAUUAGAGAGAAUACCUUUGUACGCCUUUUAAUUAACAUUAUAUUCUUCUUAUUGUAUUCUAACUCAUUUUCACAUUUGUUAGGUCCGGAGGUCUCGAAUAGGUGUAUAGGGGAGGGGGAAAAUACACCUAUAGGCUAUUUUUAAAACCAAAAGGAUCUCAAUACAGAGAUGAAAACAAAACUUUAAUCUCAAACACAAACACUUGUUUACUGAAAAGAUAUUUGACCAAAAUAGGGUUGACGACUGAUACUGAAAGACUCUUCAGUAAGGAGUUAUCAGUUAAGUCACAAGAACUUAACUAAGGCACGUAAAGGCUUCAGUCAAGUUUGAUAAAAACAAAGAUGUUAUAAAUCUUCCUGACUAUCAGAGGAUAGAUCAGUCAGAUUGAUAACAUACGCAGCGGAAAUACUUUUGUUUCGCAAUAGCCUUUGUUGNAUUAUAACACAUUGUUAGGUCCGGAGGGUCUCGAAUAAGUGUAUGGGGG
rnacentral:lncRNA from 1 species